rnacentral:sRNA from 1 species
GAAACAGUAGCAGUGCUUUACAAUCUUGUCAUGCGUUAGUGCCUGUUGUCCAUUUUGCAGAUGAAGAAACUGAGGCUCAGAGAGGUCAGGUGAUUUGCCCUGUGGCUCACAGCCAGGACCUGGUCUUCAGACUCCACAUCCCUUGUGGGUUUAGAGUUCUGUAGCUGUAUCCCCCUCUUAGGAAAGUGCUGGGGAUGGUGUGAGGUGGGGCAGGAAUGACUGAUGGCUGCUGCUUCUACCUCCCGCCAGGAGAUGAGCUGCCCUGUGACAUGCGGAUCCCAUCUGACAAGCAGGACAAGCUUCAUGGCUGCCUGGAGCACCUCUUUAACCAGGUGGACUCCAUCAAUGCUCUCCUCAAGGGGCCAGUCAUGAGCCGGGCUUUCGAAGAGACCAAGCAUUUCCCCAUGAACCACAGCUUACAAGGUGAGGGGAUAGCCAGUCCAAGGUGACAGCCUGCGAUGGGGAAGGGUGUUAGACA